rnacentral:rRNA from 1 species
GAUGAACGCUAGCGGGAGGCCUAACACAUGCAAGCCGAGCGGUAGAGUUUCUUCGGAAACUUGAGAGCGGCGCACGGGUGCGUAACACGUGUGCAACCUACCUUUAUCUGGGGGAUAGCCUUUCGAAAGGAAGAUUAAUACCCCAUAAUAUAAUGAUUGGCAUCAAUUAUUAUUGAAAACUCCGGUGGAUAGAGAUGGGCACGCGCAAGAUUAGAUAGUUGGUGAGGUAACGGCUCACCAAGUCAAUGAUCUUUAGGGGUCCUGAGAGGGAGAUCCCCCACACUGGUACUGAGACACGGACCAGACUCCUACGGGAGGCAGCAGUGAGGAAUAUUGGACAAUGGGUGAGAGCCUGAUCCAGCCAUCCCGCGUGAAGGAUGACGGUCCUAGGGAUUGUAAACUUCUUUUGUACAGGGAUAAACCUACCCUCGUGAGGGUAGCUGAAGGUACUGUACGAAUAAGCACCGGCUAACUCCGUG